AUGGAGAAGAGAUGUGGAUAAUGGAUCAUGGAAUGGAAUGGAGAGUGCUUGACAUUGGAUCAAGCAUUCACGUUGCAAUGGUGUGAGUUUUGUUCGGAAAAAACAACUUGACGUUGAAUCAAGUACCUUUUGUUUAUCUUAAAAUGCUUUGUUUAUCGUUUUGUGUUUUAUCUUGGUUAUUAACAUGCACGGUGAACUACCUGGAAAGUAAUAAAUCUAAGCUAUUACAUGAUUAUGGGGUGGGGGAACAUUUAACCCACAAUGGAGGGAUGG
rnacentral:lncRNA from 1 species